UGGCUCAGUUGGUAGAGCAUGGUGCUUGCAAUGUUAAGGUUGUGGGUUUGAUUCCCAC
rnacentral:tRNA from 1 species